rnacentral:rRNA from 1 species
UGAGUACGAGAUGCUACGGCAUCGAAGCAGUCUAUGUCAUACUUCCAAGAAAAGCUUGCACUGUCAGAAACAGAUAAUGCCUGUACCAUAACCGACACAGGUGGGUAGGUAGAGUAUACUAAGGGGCGCGAGAUAACUCUCUCUAAGGAACUCGGCAAAAUGACUCCGUAACUUCGGGAGAAGGAGUGCCUUAUUUUUAAGGUUGCAAUAACAAGAUCCAAGCAACUGUUUACCAAAAACACAGGUCUCCGCUAAGUCGUAAGACGAUGUAUGGGGGCUGACGCCUGCCCAGUGCCAGAAGGUUAAAGAAGUCGGUUAGCAUUCGCGAAGCUGGUAACUGAAGCCCUGGUGAACGGCGGCCGUAACAAUAACGGUCCUAAGGUAGCGAAAUUCCUUGUCGGGUAAGUUCCGACCCGCACGAAAGGCGUAAUGAUUUGGAUACUGUCUCGGAGAGGGGCUCGGUGAAAUAGACUUGUCUGUGAAGAUGCGGACUACCUGCACCUGGACAGAAAGACCCUAUGAAGCUUUACUGUAACUUGAAAUUGAAAUUGGACUUUAUUUGCGCAGUAUAGGUGGGAGGCGUUGAAAAUAUUCUUGCGGGAAUAUUGGAGCCAUCAGUGAGAUACCACUCUUGUAAUGUUAGAUUUCUAACUUUAUAUCAUUAUCUGGUUAAAGAACAGUUUCAGGCGGGCAGUUUGACUGGGGCGGUCGCCUCCCAAAUGGUAACGGAGGCGCACAAAGGUUUCCUCUGAACGGGUAGAAAUCGUAUCUAGAGUGUAAAGGCAUAAGGAAGCUUGACUGUGAGACCUACAAGUCGAGCAGGGACGAAAGUCGGUCUUAGUGAUCUGACGGCGCUGAGUGGAAAGGCCGUCACUCAACGGAUAAAAGUUACUCUAGGAUAACAGGCUGAUCUCCCCCAAGAGUUCACAUCGACGGGGAGGUUUGGCACCUCGAUGUCGGCUCAUCGCAUCCUGGGGCGGUAGUACGUCCCAAGGGUUGGGCUGUUCGCCCAUGAAAGCGGUACGCGAGCUGGGUUCAGAACGUCGUGAGACAGUUCGGUCCAUAUCCGGUGUAGGCGUUAGAAUAUUGAGAGGAGCCUUCUUUAGUACGAGAGGACCGAGAAGGACAUACCUCUGGUGUACCAGUUAUCGUGCCAACGGUAAACGCUGGGUAGCUAUGUAUGGAGUGGAUAACCGCUGAAAGCAUCUAAGUGGGAAGCCCACCUCAAGAUAAG